AGGAGCAACAGCCCCAGUGGCGGGGCCAGCUCUGGAAACCUGGAUUCAGCCCCUGCAGGAACUCCGGAGCUCUCUGUCUGCAGGGCCUGGAGGCUCCGGGGCGGG
rnacentral:pre_miRNA from 1 species